ensembl:lncRNA
GAUCAUCUGACUGUAAGAUAGGGAGUGUAUACAGGUGUGCCCAGUAUAAUCACCACGUUCCCUAAAGGUGGAAGAGGGAGGCAGGAGAGAGGAUGCGAGUGAAGAGAUGUGAGAAGGACUGAACCGGUCAUCACUAGCUUUGAAGGUGGAGGAAAAGGGCCAAGAGACAAUGAAAGCAGGUGGCCUCUAGGAGCUGGAAAAUUCAAGGAAAUGGAUUCUUUCCUAGAGACUCCAGGAAGGAACACAGCCCUGCCAACCCCUUGAUUUUAGCCCAAAUGAGACCCAUCUGAGACUUCUGACCUCCAGAACCUAUAAAGUGAUUGUUGGGCCUGUUAUUACCUAAGAGUGAUCAGAAAAUCAUUGGACCUGCUGGGUGUUUUCAUCUAAAAACAGGGAAAACUUUUUGCCAGUGGAUAAAAUUUAAGGAGCAAGUAGAAGUAUGAAUAAAGAGAACACAUCCUGAAUUACUAGGAAAACAAUCAGAUAGUACCAAUAUGAAGACCUGGAGGGGGAAUGCUGGCCUCUGAUAUGAACCAGAACUAAAUAAUCCCCAAGAUUCCUCCCCACCCCAAUAUUCUAAAUAGGUUCAAGCUGAAGAGUAAAUAUGAGAACUGAAUUUUCCUGAGGAAGUCAAUUGUCUACUUUCAAACUAAGCUAUAUCUAAAAACAGGCUGUGAAGAGAGGAAGUAAUUUUGAAGGACAACAUGGGCAUUGUCCCUGAGAGGGGAGAAGCUAUGAGUUGCCAGCAGUCUGGGUAAUUCACAGAGAAACCCUCUGUCUGGACCAGUCCCAGAUCUUCAGCCUCUAGCCCAUGCCUGGAAUUGGCAAAUACCUCUGGGAAAGGAAACUGCAGAUUCUCAGUUCACUUGUAAAAGUCUCUCUCUCCUCUUAGUUUCUGGAAUUUUACUCCCUCUAGUAAUGCUUGCUUUUGCAGUGCUCUGAAGCCUUAGAAAAUGUGACUUUAAAAAGCGUAUCUGGAUUUUGUAGUUGUUCUCAGUGGGAACAUUUUUCUGCCAUGCAGUCCAUUAUACUGAGAAGCAGAAGCAUACCUUAUUUUUGUCCAUUUGAUCUGACUUCACUGAGAGAAAGGAGACAAAGUUUCCCACUGCUGUUUCCACCUGGUUCUCCUUUGCCUCACACAAUUUGUUUUUAUCAACAUUGCUGCUACAUUGUUAGUACAGAGUUAUUCAUAACUGUUACAUUCUCAUUUUGGUAUGUAUGCAUUAUAAACUAACUUUAUUAUUUCUUUUUGGCCUGAAUUCUACCUUCUCUAAUGUUGUAUUGCAACCACUACUUUCUUCUUGUUUGCAUUUUCCUGCUAUAUCUUUGUUCAUCUUUUUUUAUCUUAACUUUUCUGAAUAAUUUUAUUUUCAGGGUUACUCUUAUAGAGAGCCUAAUAGUUGGGUUUGUGACAUAGAUUUGUGACUCAAUCAAUCAGAAAAUCAAUCUUUUUCCUUUGCUAGGUAAAUUAAAUCUACAUUUAUUGGUAUGAUUAAUUUUAGUUCUAUAAUGUUAUAUAUGUAACAUUUUUAAAGUCUCUUCUAUGUGGUCUCUUUCUUUUGUUUAGUGGCUAUAUAAUUAUAUCUUUAUUUAAUACCUUUUCCUCUUUUUUCUUUAGAAUCAUAUCUACAAUUUUUCUAAUAUGAGCAGCGUAAAAUUAGCUUGUAUUCUCUGCUUCCCCUUCAUUCCUUGCCCUCCAUCAUGCAAUUUUAGUCAGUAAUAUCGCCUUUUUUAGUGUUGACUUUUGUAUUGUUAAGUAUAUUAUACUUCUAAAACAUGAUUUUUCAACUUUAAAUGUCUCAGUUUUUAUAUUAUAGAUGGCGUCAGUGAGAUUAUUCUUUUCUCCACUUUCACUCCCUCUAUCCAUUUUUUUAGUUUUAUCUUUUUUAAGUUGUCGGAUCAUAUGCCACUUCUAUUCUAUUCUGUGAUCCUUGUUUUUACCUUUUCUUGGCCUUAAAUCUAUAGGCAGAUUUAUGUGAGAAGUCUUCUUGAGGUUUCCUCAGUCAUUCUUUGACUGGUGACAGUUUUUCCUCUAGCAGAUUCCAUAAGAAGCCUUCACGUGAACAUCAUUCCCUGAAUUCUGGAAUAUUCAAAGCCAUUUGAUAGUAUUAAUUGUUGAGAGGAAUGUGAUCAAAAGCUCAAUUUUGGCAAGAAUGUAAAUUGGUACAACCACUGGAAAACAAGUUUGCAACGACUCAUAGAGAUAAACAUUUGUUAUUCUGUUAUGACCCGAAAUUUCACUCCUACUCAGGAGAAACUCUCGUAUAGGUAUACCAGGAGCCACAUACAAGAGUUUUCAUAACAGUACUGUGUAUGAUAGCAAAAACGGAAUGACCAUCAAAAAGCAAAUGGAUAAGUACAUCAAAGUAUAUUCACCAAAUUGAAUUUCAUGCAUCAGUCCAAAUUAAUAAUCUACAGUCAUACUCAACAGUAUAGAUGAAUCUUAGCAAUGUGCUAUAUUUUAUUAAUUCUCAUCUUUGUCUUUUUUUUUUGCGAGGAAGAUUGCCCCUGAGCUAACAUAUGUGCCAAUCUUCCUCUGUUUUUCACAUGGGAUGCUGCCACAGCAUGGCUUGUUGAACGUUGGGUAUGUCUAUGCCCAGGAUCCAAACCCAUGAACCCUGGGCCGCCAAAGUGGAGCAUGUGAACUUAACCACUACGCCACUGGGCCAGCCCCUCAUCUUUGUCAUUUUAACAUCUGUAAAAUUGUGAUAUGUCUUACAAUUGAUGGCAAGUCAUUGUUUAAUUAGAAGACAGUAUUUUAUUUUAUUAUGUAAUAUGCUGUACCUUACGUUUGAUGGGGCCUUAUAUUCAAUGAAGUAUGGUAAUAUUGUGUGGCAAAAUGAAGUGUCAGAAGAUUACAUAUAAUAUAAUGCCCUUUGUAUAAAGUUGAAACAACUAAAACAAAUUAAUUUUUAUUUAUUAAUACAUUUAUAUGAUAAUACUGUCUGUAUACAAGGGAGUAAUAAAAAAAAUAUCAAGAUAGUGAUACCUCUGGUGGGAAGAGGCAGAUGGAUGGGAUAGCAAAGCAGAUGAAAAUUAUUGUUGGAGUUCUCAUGUUGGUUUCACGGAUAUUUAUGGUAUUAUUUAAUACAAUGGCUUAUUUUAGUAAUUUAGCAUAAAAUUAUCACAAAUUAAAUACAUGUAUGUAUACAUACAUAUUUGAAAGACACAUAUGGACUAAGGAUGAAAAUAUGUCAUGAACUAAGACUUCUGAUUAAUCUAAUUUUAUAGACUUGAGUCAAAACUAAAUAAAGCUAUUAUCUGGCUUAUACUUUCCUUGAGUACAUUAUAAGUGUUUAAACUAUUCUCUGGCAUUAAAUGUUGCUGUUGAGUAAUCUGAUAUCAUCCUGAUUUUCUUUCCUUUUUUUUUUCAUAAGUGAUGUAAUCCUUUUGCUUGUAUUUCCAAAUGAUUUUCUUCUUCUUUAA